AGAGUUUGAUCCUGGCUCAGAACGAACGCUGGCGGCAGGCUUAACACAUGCAAGUCGAACGAAGGCUUCGGCCUUAGUGGCGGACGGGUGAGUAACGCGUGGGAAUUUGCCUCAUGGUACGGAAUAACUCCGGGAAACCGGCGCUAAUACCGUAUAAGCCCUACGGGGGAAAGAUUUAUCGCCAUGAGAUGAGCCCGCGUCCGAUUAGCUAGUUGGUAGGGUAAUGGCCUACCAAGGCGAUGAUCGGUAGCUGGUCUGAGAGGAUGAUCAGCCACACUGGGACUGAGACACGGCCCAGACUCCUACGGGAGGCAGCAGUGGGGAAUAUUGGACAAUGGGCGCAAGCCUGAUCCAGCCAUGCCGCGUGAGUGAUGAAGGCCUUAGGGUUGUAAAGCUCUUUCGGCGG
rnacentral:rRNA from 1 species